GGCGCGGUCACGUGGGCGCGGCCACCCCCGCCGCAGGCGCCCCGGGCGGGGACCCGGCGCGCUCGCACGUGCGGCGCGGCCGCAGAACUGUGAACCGCUGACCUUUGAGUGCUUUGCACGCUGAGGUGCUUAGGAGGCAGACAACGAUGUCGGCGGUGUGCUUUGAAAUGCACCGGAAGUAAGAUGUGGUGAGGGAUGGACAGAAAGGUGGACAGAUGGACAGACGUGGAUGAAACCCAAGAGAAAUUUCUAGAGCCUACAAGUCUGAAGUCAAGGGGUCGCAGGGCUGCGCUGAGGGUCCUUCCUGCCUCUGCAAGCUUCUGGGGGUGGCCUGCAAUCCUUGGCUUGUGGCCGCCUCCCUCUGUUCUCUGUCGUAUCUUCACAUGGCCGCCUCCCUGUGUGUCUUUGCCCAGAUUCCCCCCUUCUUGUAAGGACACAGGCCAUCGGAAGUAGGGCCACCCUACUCCAGGAUGACCUCAGCUUAACUAGUUUCAUCUGCAGAGGCCCCAAUUCCAAAUAAGGUCGCGGUCACAGGUUUAAGGAUUGGGAUGGGGACCUAUCUUUUUGGGGACACAGAGCAACCCGCAACACCUCCCCAGGCAUGACGACCAGAAACAUAUUCGCACCUGUCCCCUGGGGCCGAGAACCGCUGACCCCUGCCCGCCCAUCUGGAGUGGGUCACUGCAGAAUUCUUCCCACUCAGCUCUGUGUCUGAAAAGUUCUCGUAGGACGUUGGAAUGAAAUAACACGGAGGGGGGGAGGAGGGGGGUCUGGGGGCGACGGGGCCACAAGCGUUGUUCGUGAGGCAGGUGUUGGCACACAGGCUUC
rnacentral:lncRNA from 1 species